GUUUCCGUAAUAUAGUGGUUAUCACGUUCGCCUCACAUGCGAAAAGUCCUUAGUUCGAAAUCGGGCGGAAACA